UCUCUGCGCCAAAACCAAAACAAAACCAAUUUCGCCUAGAAAAGUGUAUUUUUAGAGUAUUGACGUAUCGGCUAUCAGGAGGAUGCAUGUAAGAAAGUGCUCCCCAGCGUGGGGGGGACUAUGCUAUUUUACGAGCUGUAUUUCACAUUUUCACAGGUCACCGCCACGCACACAAUCACAAAUAGACACGCACACGCAUACGAAUACGCACAUAAACACAUUUGUCCAAGGGAGCGCGACAAUUGCCUGAACGGCGCGGCCGGCCUUGUGGGACAUUUUGCAUGGAGCAGAGGAUGCGAUGCGAUGGUCCGGCACUGGAGGAGGAAACCUAAUGAGCGCGUACCGCCCACGCAAUGAAACGGGCCAGAGACACACACACACACAUACUAGGCAAUUUUGGGCUGCUGUCCCGGAUCUCGGGGGCAUAUCUGUCAGAAGAUGCUGCGCGACAGAGGAGGGAUGCUGCUACAGGAUGGACUCGGAUGUGCAGAUGGAUACAGAGCAGACACACGGAUGCACUGAGACAAACAAACUUAAAGGUUGAAUUCAUUCAUUUCGAUUCGAAAAUGGAUUCCUUCCUCGUACGUGUAUUUUCGCCCAGUGUAUGCCUGGUUCCCCCUCGCGGCGUGGUGGCCCCGCAUGUUACGCAUUUCCUCUUGGGAUUCCAGGGCAUUGGGCGCUGUUCUUUUGAUAUUGUAAUGUGCAUAAUAGGAUUUUUAUGACACCUUUACUGUGGGGACGGGCGGGCAUCAGGCAUCGCCAAUGGCACCAAUGGCACCAAUGGCUGCUGCCUCGCUUAAUCGCCAGUUUCCGCCUACCAUCCAUGAAGGACUGGCAGACUGGCCCCCUGUUUUCGCUGCUGAUGCUCUCCUUCUUGUCACCAAAAAGUUGCAAAUUUUAUUGGCCGGAUGUGCGGAUGUGCGGCAGCGGCAUGUGGAUUGUGGAUUGUGGAUUUGCAUCAGAUCAUGAAUUUCACACGAUGGGCUGCCGCCUGUGCGCUCACCUUUCGCAUUUCAUUUACACUUGUGCUGCAUAUUUUAUUGUGUUGUAUGUACACGGCAUUAUUGCACACAAAUGGCCAGUUACAUAUUAAGGCGAACAAUAACCGCCGACUGUGUUGUCAGGACUCUGGGGGAAACCCGGAUGUGAAUGUGGAUAUGGGUCCUCCAGAUGGCUGGCAAAAUGCCAUUUGAUUCGAGCGACACUUGAGGCUGUCUCUGUCUCCUGCUCCUGCCUCGUUGCGCAUCGUUUGGGAGCCCCCCCCCCCUCUUUAAUGGCUGUACGGAAUUAAUUUCCAAAAAUUUUUGUAAAGGUGUC